rnacentral:tRNA from 2 species
AGGGGUGUAGCUCAAUUGGCAGAGCAGCGGUCUCCAAAACCGCAGGCUGCAGGUUCGAUUCCUGUCACCCCUG